AAUGGAAACGUCUCCUUCUGGGCUGAGCCUAUAAAUACCGGAAGACGACGCGCUUGUCCCGAAUAAAACUGAGCUCUCUCAGUUGCCUCUUCAGCUCUCUACUGUUGGCCAGGGUUAUUUUACUGGUACUAGAACUACUGUAUAAGCGCACACGCACAUAGAGAGAGAGAGAGAGAGAGAGAGAGAGAGAGAGAUGGAUACUUAUACGGUGCAUCUGACCAUGGCGGCGCUGUUGGGAGCUUCGCUGGUGGCAGUAUCGGCGUAUUAUAUGCACCGCAAAACCCUAACACAGUUGCUGGAGUUUGCGAAGACGGUCGAGAGAGAAAGAGAGAGGGAGAGAGAUGAUAACUCUGAUGGAGACUCGCCGCAGCAUUUGAAGAAGCGCCGUAGUCAUGGCCGGAGGAAGGGAAACGGUUACUACCGUCGUGGCUCUGCGUCUUUGCCGGAUGUCUCUGCCAUUUCUGGUGGCGGUGGAGGAGUCGAUGGAAUGGAGAAGCGUAAUGGUCCGCUGCAUGUUGACGGGAUUCCCCCCGGGUUACCCAGGCUCCACACGCUGCCUGAAGUGAAGGCUGCAGGACAUGUCAAGAGAGCUGGAAAUCAUAUUAGACCAACUUCUCCUAAAUCUCCUGUUCCUAGUGCUAGUGCCUUUGAGAGCGUGGAAGGAUCAGAUGAAGAAGAUAAUAUGACUGACAGCACUAAGAUAGACAUUACAUAUAUCCAUACCAAUGGAAAUGCUGCUGCUGGCCCUGAGUGUAAAGGCCUGUUUGACAAUUUGCCAAAACAAGUUAAUGCCAACGGAGAGCAAAUUCCUAUACCUGCUUCAAGCAUGAUUCGAUCACAUAGUGUAUCUGGUGACUUGCAUGGUGUACAGCCUGAUCCUAUUGCAGCUGAUAUUCUUAGAAAAGAGCCAGAACAAGAAACUUUUGCACGGCUUAAAAUUUCCCCUACUGAGGUACCAUCUCCUGAUGAAGUGGAGUCCUACAUAGUUCUCCAAGAGUGCCUUGAAAUGCGAAAAAGGUAUGUGUUUAAGGAAGCAAUUGCUCCAUGGGAGAAAGAAGUUAUUUCUGACCCAAGUACACCAAAGCCUAAUCCAGAGCCCUUCUUCUAUGCUCCGGAGGGAAAGUCUGAUCAUUACUUUGAGAUGCAAGAUGGAGUCAUUCAUGUGUAUGCAGAUAAAGAUUCUCAGGAAGAACUCUUUCCUGUUGCUGAUGCAACAACCUUCUUCACUGAUUUGCAUCACAUACUUCGAGUUAUUGCAGCUGGGAAUAUCAGAACUUUAUGCCAUCAUCGGCUGAAUCUUCUAGAACAGAAAUUCAACCUUCAUUUGAUGCUUAAUGCGGACAGGGAGUUUCUUGCUCAGAAAAGUGCUCCUCAUCGUGACUUCUAUAAUGUUAGGAAAGUGGAUACACAUGUUCAUCAUUCAGCAUGCAUGAACCAGAAGCAUCUUUUAAGGUUUAUUAAGUCAAAAUUGAGGAAAGAGCCUGAUGAGGUUGUCAUAUUUCGGGAUGGGACCUACUUGACUUUGAAGGAAGUGUUUGAAAGCUUGGAUUUGACUGGGUAUGACCUUAAUGUUGACCUGUUGGAUGUUCAUGCUGAUAAGAGCACAUUUCACCGCUUUGAUAAGUUCAACCUUAAGUACAAUCCAUGCGGUCAGAGUAGGCUUAGGGAGAUCUUCCUUAAACAGGACAAUCUUAUCCAAGGUCGUUUCCUUGCUGAGGUGACAAAACAAGUGUUUUCUGAUCUUUCUGCAAGCAAAUAUCAGAUGGCUGAAUAUCGAAUAUCAAUAUAUGGCCGCAAGCAAAGCGAAUGGGACCAAUUAGCUAGCUGGAUAGUGAACAAUGAAUUGUACAGUGAGAAUGUUGUUUGGUUAAUUCAGCUUCCAAGGCUGUACAAUGUGUACAAGGAGAUGGGGAUAGUGACAUCAUUUCAGAACAUUCUUGACAAUAUCUUUAUUCCACUCUUUGAGGUUACUGUGGAUCCAGAUUCACAUCCACAGUUGCAUGUUUUCUUAAAACAGGUUGUUGGAUUGGAUUUGGUCGAUGAUGAGAGCAAGCCUGAAAGACGUCCCACAAAGCACAUGCCUACACCAGCUCAAUGGACCAAUGUGUUCAAUCCUGCAUAUUCAUAUUAUGUAUAUUACUGUUAUGCCAACCUUUACACUUUAAACAAGCUUCGCGAAUCAAAGGGCAUGACUACUAUCAAAUUUCGGCCACAUUCUGGAGAGGCUGGUGACAUUGACCACCUUGCUGCUACAUUUCUGACGGCUCAUAACAUUGCACAUGGGAUUAAUUUAAGAAAGUCUCCUGUACUUCAGUAUUUAUACUAUCUAGCACAGAUUGGUCUGGCAAUGUCUCCUCUUAGCAACAAUUCCUUAUUUUUAGACUACCAUCGGAAUCCAUUUCCUAUGUUCUUCCUACGGGGUCUCAAUGUUUCCCUUUCAACUGAUGAUCCACUCCAGAUCCACUUAACAAAGGAACCUUUGGUGGAAGAAUACAGCAUAGCUGCUUCUGUCUGGAAGUUGAGUUCAUGUGAUCUGUGUGAGAUAGCGCGGAAUUCAGUGUAUCAGUCAGGUUUCUCACAUGCUCUAAAGGUGCUUUAUGGUGUGGUUAACGUGCACUUCUGAAUUGUGUGUCAGUCACACUGGAUUGGAAGAGAGUACUACAAGAGGGGCCCAGAUGGAAAUGACAUUCACAAAACAAAUGUGCCUCACAUCCGGGUGGAAUUUCGUGAAACGAUAUGGAGAGAGGAGAUGCAACAGGUUUAUCUUGGCAAGGCCAUUAUCCCUGCAGAACUGGACAAGUAAAUGGCAAGGCCAUUCAUGUAUAAGUAUAAAGGAAGAGAAGAACGUUGUUAAAAUUUUGAGAAGGCAGAAUACACCUGAUCAUGCAAAUUGAGAACCGGACCAACAUACAAAGAUAAGUUGAACAGGGUCUGAAAACAAACCCAAGACCAUACAUCUGACAAAAUUGCCGGCUUCGAUGACAUUUGGAUUACAGCAAUAAGAUGCCAACAUUGUGGCCCCUGAAAUAAAUGAAUGUGUUUUUAGAAGUAGCUUAAGGUAAAGUUAUAUUAUUAUGGCUCAUAGAAUGAAUUUUGUGGUGUUAGAAUAUAAUGGACAAUGAAAUCUACUGCAAAUUUAUUACGAAUCCUGUUGGUCAUAAGUAGGAGCGACGAAAAGUAUUGUACUGCGAGCAAAGAAAUUUCGUUGUUCCGAUUUUUUACUUAUUUGCAAUUUUGUUUGGAGUUGAAAAUUUUUGAUACGGAGUUUAGAUGUAUAUGGUGAAUUGCUUGUCAGGUGAUUUGCUCCAUUUUGCAUUUAGUGAUCUCUUCUAACGCUUUAAGCGUAUCCCAUUAUGAAAUGUUAAUUCGAAACAUGGUUCUCUUCCCUCAUUGCGUGGUUUGUAAUUGUAAACGUCAUUUGUGAAUUCCCGCAUAGUGGACCUCUCGACGUAACAUGAAUAAAUGAAAAUUCUUCCAACUAGAGUUUUUAUUUUGCA